GCGUUCUUCCGGGGCAAACUGAAACAAACUGUGACGAGUAGAUCAUUCGCUCACUUUUCAUGUAGCCAAAAAGAGGCGCCAUACAAGCAGGCAGGGCGGAAGUUAGAGCGAGCCGGCCAUAACGUAACAUUUGUGACGUCGUUGAUUAUUCCGCCCGGGUUGCCCUCACGCUGUCUGUCGGCUGGAGCGCCAUUAGCGGCGACCGCUCUUCACCAUUAGUCACUAUUAGUCUGUUCUGGUCACCAGCUGACUUGAACGGCUGAAUCCUGGGCUUCAUAAGAUGGAGAAGAGGAGGUCAGACUGUCCUGCUCUGCCGCCCGGCUGGAAGAAGGAAGAAGUGAUCAGGAAGUCCGGUUUGAGUGCCGGGAAGAGCGACGUUUAUUACUACAGUCCCACAGGGAAAAAGUUCAGGAGUAAACCUCAAUUGGCCCGUUACCUUGGAAACUCAGUGGAUUUGGCAUGUUUCGAUUUCCGGACAGGGAAGAUGAUGCCCGGCAAACUGCAGAAGAACAAACAGAGACUGCGACAUGACCUGCUCAGCUUGGCCAAGGGCGGAAAGCCUGAUCUGAACACGACCCUGCCCAUCAGACAGACGGCAUCAAUCUUUAAACAGCCUGUUACCAAGGUUACAAGUCACCCGGAAAACAAGGUAAAGACUGACCUGCAGAGAGCAACCGAACAGCCCACACAGCUGUUUUGGGAGAGGAGGUUGAAAGGUUUGCAAUCAUCAGAUGUCUCAGAAAAAGUUCUGCGUACUAUGGACCUACCCAAAGGUCUACAGAGUGUCGGUCUGGACUCGAGUGAUGACACUCUGUUGCGUGCCAUCGCCAGUGCUCUGCACAUGGGCUCAUCCCCUGUCACAGGACAAACAUCUAUGGCAGCUGAGAAGAACCCAGCAAUCUGGCUGAACACGUCCCAGCCCCUCUGCAAGGCCUUUACCGUGACUGAUGAACAAAUACGAGAGCAGGAGCUCAAGGUCCAUCAAGCACGGAGGAGUUUGGAGGAGGCGCUGAUGGCCGAUGGCUUGGCGCGGGCUGCUGAAAACACCCGAGAAAUGCAGGACGGGAUGACGGCUUAAAGACAUAAAAGUGAGACAGUUGCGGAGAGAUCACCCAACAGACAGAGUGAGGGGGAGAUGGGAAUAGGAAUCUCUAAGGCUAAUGACAGGUUCUCGCACACUCCACGCCAGAAGUUAUUCACCCGCGCACAGGACCACAUUGAGUAGUUGUUCUGUUCACCAACCUCAGGUUAAUCUUCAUCUGGACCCCUAAGCAAACAAAAAAUAUUUAAUGAUCAUCUUUUUAAUUCUGCAACUUUCCCGUUAAUGAAUCAUUUCCUGGACGUCCUACGAUAAAAGUUCACCAGCAGAGACAAGUAACGACAGAAUACAUAAGUCUGUUUUAAAAAUGUUGUGCUGUAUUUGUUUUUACGUUUUUGUUGAUCGCUCACAAGGAGCAUGCAAUAUCUAAAUAUAUCUAAUAUGUCAUCUAAAAUUGCAAACUGCUGGACGGCUUUUGCUAACAAAUAUUUGUUUCUUUUUUUAUUCCGCUAAAAUCAGGGUUCUACAUCAAUAAGAAAUGAAAUAGAGUAGUCUUAUUUAAUGCACAUUUUAUAUGUUGACAGUCGUGUACAUGUUUUGGG